UUCUAAUAGAUUUUUAUUAUUAGUAAAAUCUGCUCAAUGAAAUUUUAAUAGCCGCAAACUUGUGCUAAGGUAGCAUAAUCAUUUGUCUUCUAAUUAAAGACUAGAACGAAAGAUUUAACAUUUAAGAUAUUUUAUUAAAUCUAAAUUUUUAAAUUAUUCUAAGAAUAAAAAAAUUCUUAUAAAAAAAAAAGACGACAAGACCCUAUUGAACUUAACUCUAGUUAAGCUGGGGCAGCUAAACAAAUUAUCAUUUUAGUUACAAAACAAUAUCAUAAAUACCCAAUAAAAUUGAAUAAUCAAGUUACCAUAGGGAUAACAGCGUAAUAAAAAUCCAAAGACCUUAUAAAAAUUUUCUGAUUACCACCUCGAUGUUGAAUAUCUACCUAUCUUAAGUAAAAAUAAAACAAAGGAAGGCUGGCCGACUUUUAAUCCUUUUACA
rnacentral:rRNA from 1 species